UCCAACCAACAACAAUUCAUCUGUUCACAUUCAACACCCUCCCCCCUUCUUUCAACCCAAAACUCCAAACCUUAAAAACCCUAUCUUCUAGUAAUCUUUGCCCUUUCUCUAGUCAUCUUCUACUCUCUACUUAGAUCCUUCUAUCCCUUCAUAUUUCCACCAAAAAGCAACAAUGAUAAACACCCAAUUGCUGAAGGACGCAGUCGCUGCUGCAAAGACGAAGGAGCGAGGAGAGCUUUCUUCGCAGAAAUCUCGCGAUUUCUAUUUCGGAUGGGAGUCCAUACUCUUGGAAGAUGUUUUACUCCGAUGAAGCAUCCAACCUAUUAAGAAAAAACUCUUUUAAAUCCUUGGAGAAGGUGAUGAAUACUGAAUACAGAUGAGGAAAUGUUCAACACUCCUCCUUCUUUAAAACUACCCUCGGUAGCUGUUCACCAAGGACGAAUGCGGGAUCAUCAGUUUCUCCAUCCUACAUGCUGGCCAAACGAAAGAUAUUCGGAUUUUUUUGCUUUUUUUUGGGACUAUACAUAUAGAUGUGCAUCUCUUAAAUUAAUAUGGAGGUGUGUAUGUAGUUGCUAGAUGUAAUUGUAGUUUUUUUAGAGAAAUAAUAGAACACUCAAAGUAGGAAGAGGAGGAGAUCGAAACUGUUUCUCAAGUUUGUAAAUGUUUAUGUAGGUGCUUGGUUUUCGAAA